rfam:Pteropus alecto contig106988, whole genome shotgun sequence.
UCCGUUUCCCACACUAUCCUGGCGAAAAAAAUUACCUGGCGUGCCCGAUCUCGUCUGAUCUGGGAAGCUUAGCAGGGUCGGGCCUGGUUAGUACUUGGAUGGGAGACCACCUAAGAAGACCAGGUGCUGUAGGUG